rnacentral:rRNA from 1 species
UACGUAGGUGUCGAGCGUUGUCCGGAUUUAUUGGGCGUAAAGAGCCCGCAGGCGGCUUGGCAAGUUUGAGGUGAAAUCUCCCGGCUUAACUGGGAGGGGGCCUCGAAAACUGCCAGGCUUGAGGCAUGGAGAGGGAUGCGGAAUUCCCGGUGUAGUGGUGAAAUGCGUAGAUAUCGGGAGGAACACCAGUGGCGAAGGCAGCUCGCUGGGACGGUACUGACGCUGAGGCGCGAAAGCGUGGGGAGCAAACAGG